rnacentral:rRNA from 1 species
UACAGAGGGGGCAAGCGUUGUUCGGAAUUACUGGGCGUAAAGGGCGCGUAGGCGGCCUGUUAAGUCGAACGUGAAAUCCCCGGGCUCAACCCGGGAACUGCGUCCGAUACUGGCAGGCUUGAAUUCGGGAGAGGGAUGUGGAAUUCCAGGUGUAGCGGUGAAAUGCGUAGAUAUCUGGAGGAACACCGGUGGCGAAGGCGGCAUCCUGGACCAACACUGACGCUGAGUGAGCGAAAGCCAGGGGAGCAAACGGG